rnacentral:lncRNA from 12 species
GGGGGGGGGGGCGGGGGCGCCGCUGCCGGGGGAUCCGCGCGCCCCGGGCCGGGCGGGCGCAGGGGUGGGCGCGAGGAGCGCGCGGUCCUGGGGACCCGGUGCCCGCAGCCGUCCCCGGCGCGGCUCCCCGGGUCGGGUCCCUUGUCCUGCCCUCGGGGCCUCCGAGCGAAGAGAAGACCGAAGACCCCGGGGGCGGCGGCAGGAAGGGGAAGAGCCGCUGCGGACGGCGGACGGACGGACGGACGGACGGACGGCGCGCAGAGGUGCGGGGCGGGCUGCGCGGGCGCCGGGUCGGAAGGGGGCGUCCGCGCGCUGGUGUCCGGGGCCCGCGGGAAAGAGCCUCGCGCGCGGGUGGGUCGGGCCCUCGCUCGCCCCCCUCGCUCGCCCCCCGCCUGGGGAGCCGGCCCGGAGAGGCCACGGGAGGCCGCGUGCGGUGUGGAGACCGGGGAGGGGGCUUGGGGAGGCGCCCGAGGCGGUAGUCGAACCCCGGGGAGGAAGUGGCGUGCGCUUGGGACCCGGGACCUGACAGAUUUGCGUCUCUCGCCCUCGGGGACUCGGGAACGGGUGUGCUGCGGAGAUGAUGUGUUUGAGUGUUUUUCAGUGCAUACCGGUUUAUUUUUAGCUCCCAGAGAAGCAGGAUGUGCAAAGUGGGUUGUAUCAGCCCGGGAGGGGCAGGAGGUCUCCCUGUCCGCAGGAAAACACAAGUUUCUUGCUGCAGAUGCUUCAACUUUGGAGCCCGGAGGAAGAAAGCGCUUGGCUCUCCGGCGCCCUCUCUCCGGCGCUCUCCCCACCGGGGCCACUUUCUCCCUGCGGGCCUGUCUGAAGCCGCAGGCCCGGCCGGCCGAGCGUCCUUCUCUGCUUGAGUGCUGGCCCCAAAUGAGGGUACGGGUCCUGCGCGUAGGGCGGCUAGUGGAACACAGAAGUAGGGCUGCCAAGGUCUCGCUUGCUGAGAAGGAAACCACACAAGCUUGCUUAAAGUUUUCCGAGCUUUGUCUGAUUUGA